rnacentral:lncRNA from 1 species
GAAUAUAUAAGAACUCUCAAAAUUCAGCAAUAGGAAAACAACCCAAUUUUUUUAAAUGGGCAAAAGAUGUGAACAGAUGCUUCACCAAAGAAGAUAAUGAACAAGCUAAUCAUCUCGAGAAGUUUUCUAAUGCCCCUUGGCAAUCCUUUCUAAAAACUCUUCCUCCUGCACAUAUCUGGGCAACCACUGAUCUUUCUAUCAGUGUAGACUACUUUGCAAUUUCUAGCCUUUUAUAAAAUAGAAUCAUAUAAUACAUACUUUUUCUUGCCUUGCUUUUUUUACCCAGCAUAAUUAUUUUUAGAUUCAUUCACAUUUUUGCAUAUACCUAUGAUUCAUUUCUUUUUAUUCCUAAGUAGUAUUUCACUGCGGCUGUACCACAAUUUGCUCAUGAUUUAUCUGUUGAUGGACAUUUGGGUGUUUCCAGUUUUAGGCUAUGACAAAUAAAGCUGGUAUGAAUAUUCCUGUACCAGUCUUUAUAUGAAUACACAUUUUCACUUAUCUGGAGCAAGUACUUACAGUGGAAUGGAUGGAUCAUACACCUGAUAUAUGAUUCAUCCAUUCCAUUAUAAUUUUGAAAUAUUUGCAGUUUAUUGUAUAAGAGUUAUGUCUCAAGAGCUGCUAAAAUAUUAAAAUAAUGAAUCCUGCCCCUCAAAAUCUUAAAUUAAUAGAUUGACAUAUUUUUACACAUAUGAAAAUCUGUGUAACACCACCUGGAUACAAAUAUAGAGUUUGAGGUGCCCCAGAAACUUGCUCAUGCUUUUUUCUAGUCAAUUCAUAUGCCGCAGUCAGUAAUCAUUCCUACUUUUCCAGUUCUUGAGCUUUAUAUAAAGGGAAUUACAUGAUAUGUGCUCAUCUUCCUUUUAUAUGUGUAUCAGCAGUUUGCUGUUUUCCAUUGUAUUUUAUUAUAUUUAUUCAUUUUACUGUAGAUGGGCAUUUGAGUUGUUUUCAGGUUUUUGGCUAUUUUGAGUAAGGCUGCUAUGAAUAUUCUUGUAUAUAUCAUUUGGUACACAAUAGCACUCCUUUCCUUGAAGUUCAACCACUGGGUCAUAGAGUGGGAAUUUGUCUAGCCUUAGCAGAUAUUGACAUGUAGCAUUUGGAAGUGUAACUAUUUACAUGCCCAGUAAUUCUUCUUGCUGUAUAUCAUUUCCAAUUCUUGGAGUUUUAAAAUUUAUCUUUUUAUCUUAGCAAUUAUUACAGUGCCGUCAAACGGUGUUUUUAAUUUUUAUUUCUCUAUUAGGUAAUGAUGCCAAACAUCUAUUAAUAUGCUUAUUGGCAAUUGUGGAUAUCUUCUUUUGUGUUCAAGUAUAUCAACAUUUUAAAAUUUGGGCUGUAUAUAUUCUUCUUCAUAAUGUAAAAGAGUUUUAUGGCAUGUAUCAGCAGUUUGUUCAUUGGUAUAGCUGAAUAAUAAUUCCAUUGAAAUAGUAUAUCAAAACUUAUCCAACAAUAUAUUUUUACUAUUCAGUAAAAUCUAUUCCAUACUGAUUAAUACAACAUUAAUCUUAUCAUUUUGUAUCUAUGAUUAUUUCCCUGUCACACAUCUAAUGCUGUGUAUUUGUGCUUUUUCCUUUUAUUCUUGAUAUUAGCUAAUAAUCUGUUUUUGGCUUCCUUGAUUUUAAGAAUUGAUCUUUGAUAUGUAUUUUAAUGUUAUUAUUUUUCUCUUUUCUUAUUUAUUGUUUUCUAUCCUUAUCCCAUAAAUUUCGCACAUUUAUUUUUCUUGGUUGUACUGUAUUUUGUUUUUCAUCUCUUAAUUUCAUUCAUUC